rnacentral:lncRNA from 1 species
GAAAUGCUUUGGCUCGUGCCUCCAGGGAGGGUGACAACAUCUGUCUGUGCAGCACAGGCAGUGUGUGACCUCUCACAAUCAUCCAGUCAGGAGCCCUUUUGCUGGCUGAGACCCUUUCUCAGGUGUCUCACAUCAGAGAGAGACAUCCAACUGCCUCACAGGGAAGUCAUUGCUUCUGUCAUUAAUGAAACAGGAU